rnacentral:rRNA from 1 species
CUAGUGGCGAACGGGUGAGUAACACGUGAGGAACUUGCCCUGGAGACCGGGAUAGCCCGGGGAAACCCGGAUUAAUACCGGAUACUCUCGAGAUGUCGCAUGGCAACUCGAGGAAAGGGUCCGCCGCUCCAGGAGAGUCUCGCGUCCUAUCAGCUUGUUGGUGAGGUAACGGCUCACCAAGGCAUCGACGGGUAGCUGGUCUGAGAGGACGAUCAGCCACACUGGGACUGAGACACGGCCCAGACUCCUACGGGAGGCAGCAGCAGGGAAUAUUGCGCAAUGGGCGAAAGCCUGACGCAGCGACACCGCGUGAAGGAUGAAGGCCCUCGGGUUGUAAACUUCUUUCAGUGGGGAAGAAGCGAAAGUGACGGUACCCACACAAGAAGCCCCGGCUAACUACGUGCCAGCAGCCGCGGUAAUACGUAGGGGGCAAGCGUUGUCCGGAUUCAUUGGGCGUAAAGAGCUCGUAGGCGGCUUAGCAAGUCGGUCGUGAAAUGCCGAGGCUCAACCUCGGAACGCCGAUCGAAACUGCUAUGGCUAGGGUCCGGUAGAGGAGAGUGGAAUUCCCGGUGUAGCGGUGAAAUGCGCAGAUAUCGGGAGGAACACCAGUAGCGAAGGCGGCUCUCUGGGCCGGUACCGACGCUGAGGAGCGAAAGCGUGGGGAGCGAACAGGAUUAGAUACCCUGGUAGUCCACGCCGUAAACGUUGGGUACUA